GAUGGUUCUAACUCUCUUUCCCCUUCCCUUCCUCUCUCUGUAAAAAAUCAAUAAAAUAUAUUUUUUUUACCCCAUAUACACCUCAGCUCAGGCUCUUUGUCUGGUCUGUAUUGUGAAUGGGGAGACAUUG